rnacentral:rRNA from 1 species
AGAGUUUGAUCCUGGCUCAGAACGAACGCUGGCGGCGUGCUUAACACAUGCAAGUCGAACGCGAACGGUUUCUUCGGAAACCUAGUAGAGUGGCGCACGGGUGAGUAACGCGUAAGUUAUCUACCCUCCCAUCUGGAAUAACUCACCGAAAGGUGUGCUAAUACCGGAUACGUUGGAAACAAGAAAGGUGGCCUCUAUUUAUAAGCUACCGUGGGGGGAUGAGCUUGCGUACCAUUAGCUAGUUGGUAGGGUAAUGGCCUACCAAGGCAACGAUGGUUAGCGGGUCUGAGAGGAUGAUCCGCCACACUGGAACUGGAACACGGACCAGACUCCUACGGGAGGCAGCAGUGAGGAAUAUUGCGCAAUGGGGGAAACCCUGACGCAGCGACGCCGCGUGGAUGAUGAAGGCCUUUGGGUCGUAAAAUCCUGUCAGAUGGAAAGAAAUGCUAUUGGUUUAAUACGCCUUUAGUUUGACGUACCAUCAAAGAAGCACCGCUAACU